UUUAGCAAGUACCCCCUGAGCAAAGAGCCCUUCAGUUCAGCACCCCGAAACUAGACGAGCUACUUCAAGACAGCCUGUUUAACAAACAUGUAGGGCACACCCAUAUCUGUUGCAAAAGAUUGGGAAGAUCUUCAAGUAGAGGUGACAAGCCUACCGAGCCUAGUUAUAGCUGGUUGUCUGAGAAAUGAAUAUAAGUUCAGCCCCCUGAUUUCCCCCAUCAAGAGCACCAAUGCCCUCAAAGAUCAAACAAAAAUCAAGGGAGUUAGCCAGAGGGGGUACAGCCCCUCUGGAAAAGGACACAACCUCAACGGAAGACCAAAGAUCAAACCAACUAAGGAACUUUAUUUUAGUGGGCCCGGAAGCAGCCACCUAAGAAGAAAGCGUUACAGCUCCCAUAUAGCUCCACCCCCUGAUCUCGAACCCCUCUCUUCAAUCUCCCCUCACUAUCAGACCCUCCCACUAGUCCUGGGAAAGAUUAUGCUAAAAUGAGUAAUAAGAGGGUGCGCCCCUCUCCACCACACAUGUAUAAGUCGGAACGGACCAACCGCCGAUAACUAACGACCCCUGCAGAGAGUAGUGUACUGCCGCACAAAUAGCAAGAAAGCCAAACACAUAAAAUCGUUAACCCAACACAGGUGUGUGCCCCCGGAAAGACUAAAACAAAGGGAAGGAACUCGGCAAACAAAAGCCUCGCCUGUUUACCAAAAACAUCGCCUCUUGCAAAAUUCACGAAUAAGAGGUCCCGCCUGCCCAGUGACAGUGUUUAACGGCCGCGGUAUUUUGACCGUGCAAAGGUAGCACAAUAAAUUGUCUCUUAAUUGGAGAACGGUAUGAAUGGCAUCACGAGGGCUUAACUGUCUCCCCUCUAAAGUCAAUGAAAUUGAUCUCCCCGUGCAGAAGCGGGGAUACACUCGUAAGACGAGAAGACCCUAUGGAGCUUUAGACAUAAGCCAGCCCACGUCAAACGCCCCUAAUAAAGGAAAUGAACAAAAUGGCCCCUGAUGGUAUGUCUUCGGUUGGGGCGACCACGGAGAAAGACAAAACCUCCACAUGGACUGGGGCUACUACGCCCUAAAACACAGACCCACAGGUCAAAUAAACAGUACAUCUGACCAUAAAAGAGCCGGCAUAAGCCGAUCAAUGGACCAAGUUACCCUAGGGAUAACAGCGCAAUCCUCUCAAAGAGACCAUAUCGACGAGGGGGUUUACGACCUCGAUGUUGGAUCAGGACAUCCUAAUGGUGCAGCCGCUAUUAAGG
rnacentral:rRNA from 1 species